AUCCGAGUCAUCCCUAAAUAUGGGCAGGAUAUCAGUCUUGGACUGUCUAACCUGCCGGAGCAGCACUGAAUGACCACCACACAUGAGCAUGUUCCUGCAACAUUCAGCAGCUUUGCUUUUGUGUCAAAUGUCAACCAGCUGGAGAGGAAACUAAACCAGUACUGGGCUGUUUCACCAACACGUGCCAGAUGCUGUUCCUUCAUGGUGACAUCACCAGAGACAGCCCCGCCCACCUCAGGACCUCGCCAUUGAUCAUGAUGAUUAUAAUCGGAACUAAGACUGUACAAAUCCACGACCAGAAUGUUUAUAUGCUUUCUAAUUAUUCAUGAAUACUGAGAGCCUCUUUCUGUGUUUUGUCUGUUUUGGGUUGUUUUGUUUUUUUACCUCAUUUGUUACUAACAAAGUUCACCAAACUCACACAGUUUACAUUCUGUAUGUUUCCAUCUUUACCAGCCACACUC